UGCGAAAAGCUUGGAUGAGUUGAUAAGAAGCGUUUAAUCCAAGAUAUCCGAAUGGGGAAACCCAGUAGAUGAAGAAUCUACUAUUAUUAAGUGAAUACAUAGCUUAAUAAGGCAAACCGGGAGAACUGAAACAUCUAAGUACCCGGAGGAAGAGAAAGCAAAUGCGAUUCCCUGAGUAGCGGCGAGCGAAACGGGAUUAGCCCAAACCAAGAGGCUUGCCUCUUGGGGUUGUAGGACACUCUGUACGGAGUUACAAAAGAACGAGGUAGAUGAAGAGGUCUGGAAAGGCCCGCCAUAGGAGGUAACAGCCCUGUAGUCAAAACUUCGUUCUCUCCUGAGUGGAUCCUGAGUACGGCGGAACACGUGAAAUUC
rnacentral:rRNA from 1 species